rnacentral:misc_RNA from 1 species
GAUGAAGAACGUAGUGAAAUGCGAUAAGUAAUGUGAAUUGCAGAAUUCAGUGAAUCAUCGAAUCUUUGAACGCACAUUGCGCCCCUUGGUAUUCCGAGGGGCAUGCCUGUUCGAGCGUCAUUUCAACCCUCAAGCACAGCUUGGUGUUGGGACUCGCGUUAAUUCGCGUUCCCCAAAUUGAUUGGCGGUCACGUCGAGCUUCCAUAGCGUAGUAGUAAAACCCUCGUUACUGGUAAUCGUCGCGGCCACGCCGUUAAACCCCAACUUCUGAAUGUUGACCUCGGAUCAGGUAGGAAUACCCGCUGAACUUAAGCAUAUCAAUAAGCGGAGGA